rnacentral:tRNA from 1 species
AGGAUAGUAGUUAAUUAUAACGUUUGGGUUGCAUUCAAAAAGUGUUGAAUUUUUCAACCUAUCUCA